rnacentral:rRNA from 1 species
UGCAAAGUUGUGUAGUGCGAUCGGUGGAUGCCUUGGCACCAAGAGCCGAUGAAGGACGUUGUGACCUGCGAUAAGCCCUGGGGAGUUGGUGAGCGAGCUGUGGUGUUGCAUGUGCGGGGUUGUGGGGGCCUUGUGGUUCUGCUGUGUCCGGUGGCCCUGCCCUGAAUGUAUAGGGGUGUGGGUGGUAACGCGGGGAAGUGAAACAUCUUAGUACCCGUAGGAAGAGAAAACAAGUGUGAUUCCGUGAGUAGUGGCGAGCGAAAGCGGAGGAGGCUAAACCGUGUGUGUGUUCAAGCCGGCAGGUGUUGCAUGUGCGGGGUUGUGGGGGCCUUGUGGUUCUGCUGCCGCAGGAUUGGCCAGUGAGAAAUGUUGCGUGAAGGUGAAGCGUCUGGGAAGGCGUACCGGAGUGGGUGAGAGUCCUGUAACUGUAAGCGUGGCACUGGUGUGGGGUUGCCCCGAGUAGCGUGGGACUCGUGGAAUUUCGCGUGAAUCUGGCGGGACCACCCGUCAAGCCUAAAUACUCCUUGGUGACCGAUAGUGGAUGAGUACCGUGAGGAAGCGGUGUGAUCUAUCCAUGGCCAGGAUGAAGCGUCGGUAAGACGUCGUGCAUGCAAGCCGUCAGAGCCUGUGUGGUGAUGGCGUGCCUUUUGAAGAAUGAGCCUGCGAGUUAGUGAUGCGUGGCGAGGUUAACCCGUGGUGGGAGAGUCGUAGCGAAAGCGAGUCCGAUAAGGGCGUGAGUCGCGUGUUCUAGACCCGAAGCGGUGUGAUCUAUCCAUGGCCAGGAUGAAGCGUCGGUAAGACGUCGUGGAGGUCCGAACCCACUUCAGUUGAAAAUGGAGGGGAUGAGUUGUGGAUAGGGGUGAAAGGCCAAUCAAACACCGUGAUAGCUGGUUCUCCCCGAAAUGCAUUUAGGUGCAGCGUUGCGUGGUUCUUGUUGGAGGUAGAGCACUGGAUGGUCUAGGGGGCUUAUCGGCUUACCGAAAUCAGCCAAACUCCGAAUGCUGGCAAGUGUAGCGUGGCAGUGAGACGGCGGGGGAUAAGCUUCGUCGUCGAGAGGGAAACAGCCCAGAUCAUCAGCUAAGGCCCCUAAGUGGUGACUCAGUGGGAAAGGAUGUGGAGUUGCGUAGACAACCAGGAGGUUGGCUUGGAAGCAGCCAUCCUUGAAAGAGUGCGUAAUAGCUCACUGGUCAAGUGAUUCCGCGCCGAUAAUGUAGCGGGGCUUAAGUUAUCCGCCGAAGCUGUGGCAACCUGUGUGGUUGGGUAGGGGAGCGUCGUGUCAGUGGUGAAGCUGCCGGGUGACUGUGUGGUGGAGUUGAUGCGAGUGAGAAUGCAGGCAUGAGUAGCGUGUGACGGGUGGGAAUCCCGUCCGCCGAUUAUCCAAGGGUUCCAGGGUCAAGUUUGUCUGCCCUGGGUGAGUCGGGUCCUAAGGCGAGGCCGACAGGCGUAGUCGAUGGGUAACCAGUUGAUAUUCUGGUACCGGCUUGUCACCGUCCGUGUCGAGGUGUGUGAUGCUAAGCAUGUGAGCUUGUCUUGGGAGUGUUUUUGAUGCUUCUGGGGUGGGUGAGUGUGUGAACCGAUCAUGUAGUAGGCAAGCUGCGGAGGGACGCAGUGAGGUAGCUCAUCCCCGGUGAUGGUUGUCCGGGGCUAAGUGUGUGGACUGUCUGGUAGGUAAAUCCGCUGGGCGUGAAGGUUGAGGCAUGAUGGGGAGCCCAUGGUUGUGGGUGAGUGAGUGAUCCUGUACUGUCGAGAAAAGCUUCGUGAGCGAGGUGGCGGGUCCGCCCGUACCCUAAACCGACACUGGUGGAUAGGUAGAGUAUACCGAGGCGAUCGAGUGAACUGUGAGUGUAUGCGUAGCGGUGAACUUAAGCCCCAGUAAACGGCGGUGGUAACUAUAACCAUCCUAAGGUAGCGUGUGGUGGCGGUGAGGGGCGCAGAGUCCAGGGGGAAACGACUGUUUACCAAAAACACAGGUCCACCAUGAACUCGGUGAAAUUGCAUUACGAGUAAAGAUGCUCGUUACGCGCAGCAGGACGGCAAGACCCCGGGACCUUUACUAUAGUUUGGUAUUGGUGAGUAAACGGCGGUGGUAACUAUAACCAUCCUAAGGUAGCGAAAUUCCUUGUCGGGUAAGUUCCGACCUGCACGAAUGGAGUAACGAUUUCCCUACUGUCUCCACCAUGAACUCGGUGAAAUUGCAUUACGAGUAAAGAUGCUCGUUACGCGCAGCAGGACGGCAAGACCACGGGACCUUUACUAUAGUUUGGUAUUGGUGAUUGGGACGGUUUGUGUAGGAUAGGUGGGAGACGUUGAUGCGGCCACGCUAGUGGUGGUGGAGUCGUUGGUGAAAUACCACUCUGAUUGUUCUGGUUAUCUCACUGUGGACCGUGAUCCGGUUCAAGGACAGUGCCUGAUGGGUAGUUUGACUGGGGCGGUCGCCUCCUAAAGGGUAACGGAGGCGCCCAAAGGUUCCCUCAGCCUGGUUGGUAAUCAGGUGGUGAGUGUAAGUGCACAAGGGGGCUUGACUGUGAGACUGACAGGUCGAGCAGGGACGAAAGUCGGGACUAGUGAUCUGACGGUGGCUUGUGGAUGCGCCGUCACUCAACGGAUAAAAGGUACCCCGGGGAUAACAGGCUGAUCUUGCCCGAGCGCUCAUAGCGACGGCAUGGUUUGGCACCUCGAUGUCGGCUCGUCGCAUCCUGGGGCUGGAGUCGGUCCCAAGGGUUGGGCUGUUCGCCCAUUAAAGCGGCACGCGAGCUGGGUUCAGAACGUCGUGAGACAGUUCGGUCCCUAUCCGCUGCGCGCGGAGGAAUCUUGAGAAGGGCUGUCUUUAGUACGAGAGGACCGAGACGGACUGACCUCUGGUGUGCCAGUUGUUCUGCCAAGAGCAUGGCUGGUUGGCUACGUCGGGUUGUGAUAACCGCUGAAAGCAUCUAAGCGGGAAGCACGCUUCAAGAUAAGGGUUCCCACAGGAGUGUUCCUGGUAAGGUCCCCGAGAGAUGAUCGGGUUGAUAGGCCAGACGUGGACGCAUCGUAAGGUGUGGAGCUGACUGGUACUAAUAGACCGAGGACUUUCAUU